rnacentral:lncRNA from 1 species
UCCCAGCUGGAAGAUGCGUCCUGCCGCAGGAGUGUGGUGGUGCUGCUGCUGAGAAGCGUGGGGCUGUGGAACAUGCUUGUCUUUGGGAUUAUGUGUGGAGAAAGGCCGUCGGUCCUGGGGAGAGCUGGCUGGUGAACCUCUCUGACUUUGUCCCCUUCUGGGGAAGUGGCUUCAAUGGCUCCAUCUCCCAGGAGAAGCAGUAGGAGAGAUGCCAAUGCCUUGCCAAGCAUGUCCUCAACCUUCUGGGCUAUCAUGAUCCUGGCUAGUCUCCUAAUUGCUUACUGCAAUUAUAACAGCUAUUUUGGAGCGGAAAACCCUCAAUGGCUGUAUAUGAGACAUUGUCCGGGGUGCUUCCAAGAUGCUUUUGAGCUGGGUGAGAGGAAGAAAGAAAACCCUCAAAACUUUCUAACUUUUCAACUUUUCUGUACAAGACUGUUAUACUGCAUUGUUGGCUGAUCUGUGGAGGUUUGCUAUGUAUUGAUUCAUAUG